ACUUAAAUAAUAUAAAAAAAAUUAUACUUGAUUUCCAAUCAAGAAAUCUAAACCAUAGUUUAAGUA
rnacentral:tRNA from 1 species